rnacentral:rRNA from 1 species
UACGUAGGUGGCGAGCGUUGUCCGGAUUUACUGGGCGUAAAGAGCGCGCAGGCGGUCGUGCAAGUCGCGUGUGAAAGCCCCCGGCUCAACUGGGGAGGGUCACGCGAUACUGCUCGACUCGAAGGCAGGAGAGGGAAGUGGAAUUCCCGGUGUAGUGGUGAAAUGCGUAGAUAUCGGGAGGAACACCAGUGGCGAAGGCGGUUACCUGGAGCUUUGCUGACGCUGAUGCGCGAAAGCGUGGGGAGCGAUCCGG